UUUGGUCGCCAACGAGUGGCGGACGGGUGAGUAACACGUAGGUAACCUGCCCAGAAGCGGGGGACAACAUUUGGAAACAGAUGCUAAUACCGCAUAACAGCGUUGUUCGCAUGAACAACGCUUAAAAGAUGGCUUCUCGCUAUCACUUCUGGAUGGACCUGCGGUGCAUUAGCUUGUUGGUGGGGUAACGGCCUACCAAGGCGAUGAUGCAUAGCCGAGUUGAGAGACUGAUCGGCCACAAUGGGACUGAGACACGGCCCAUACUCCUACGGGAGGCAGCAGUAGGGAAUCUUCCACAAUGGGCGCAAGCCUGAUGGAGCAACACCGCGUGAGUGAAGAAGGGUUUCGGCUCGUAAAGCUCUGUUGUUAAAGAAGAACACGUAUGAGAGUAACUGUUCAUACGUUGACGGUAUUUAACCAGAAAGUCACGGCUAACUACGUGCCAGCAGCCGCGGUAAUACGUAGGUGGCAAGCGUUAUCCGGAUUUAUUGGGCGUAAAGAGAGUGCAGGCGGUUUUCUAAGUCUGAUGUGAAAGCCUUCGGCUUAACCGGAGAAGUGCAUCGGAAACUGGAUAACUUGAGUGCAGAAGAGGGUAGUGGAACUCCAUGUGUAGCGGUGGAAUGCGUAGAUAUAUGGAAGAACACCAGUGGCGAAGGCGGCUACCUGGUCUGCAACUGACGCUGAGACUCGAAAGCAUGGGUAGCGAACAGGAUUAGAUACCCUGGUAGUCCAUGCCGUAAACGAUGAGUGCUAGGUGUUGGAGGGUUUCCGCCCUUCAGUGCCGGAGCUAACGCAUUAAGCACUCCGCCUGGGGAGUACGACCGCAAGGUUGAAACUCAAAGGAAUUGACGGGGGCCCGCACAAGCGGUGGAGCAUGUGGUUUAAUUCGAAGCUACGCGAAGAACCUUACCAGGUCUUGACAUCUUGCGCCAACCCUAGAGAUAGGGCGUUUCCUUCGGGAACGCAAUGACAGGUGGUGCAUGGUCGUCGUCAGCUCGUGUCGUGAGAUGUUGGGUUAAGUCCCGCAACGAGCGCAACCCUUGUUACUAGUUGCCAGCAUUAAGUUGGGCACUCUAGUGAGACUGCCGGUGACAAACCGGAGGAAGGUGGGGACGACGUCAGAUCAUCAUGCCCCUUAUGACCUGGGCUACACACGUGCUACAAUGGACGGUACAACGAGUCGCGAACUCGCGAGGGCAAGCAAAUCUCUUAAAACCGUUCUCAGUUCGGACUGCAGGCUGCAACUCGCCUGCACGAAGUCGGAAUCGCUAGUAAUCGCGGAUCAGCAUGCCGCGGUGAAUACGUUCCCGGGCCUUGUACACACCGCCCGUCACACCAUGAGAG
rnacentral:rRNA from 2 species